rfam:Myotis lucifugus cont2.25813, whole genome shotgun sequence.
GGAGGUUCUCUGGUGACGCACCCCGGAAUCAGGAUCCCUCCUCUCUGGUUCCGGGUGUGUCACCUGAAAACCGCA